GAUCACAAAGACAUUGUCCAUGAUCACAGAGACUUUGUCCAUAAUCUCAGAGACAUUGUCCGCGAUCACAGAGACGUAGUCCACGAUCACAGAGUCUUUGUACAAUGAAGAAGUUCUUUGAGACCAGGACAGAGUCCUUCAGGUGUCACCACUUCGUCCACAACAUUGCCCACGAUCGCAGAGACUUCGUCCAUGAUCGGAGAGACAUUGUUGAGGAUGAGGGAGACAUCGUCCACGAUCAGAGACAUUGCCCGUGAUCGCAGAGACCUUGUCAAAGAUGAGAGAGACGUUGUCCUUGAUCAGAGACAUUGUCCCCUGCUUCGUAGAGACCUUGCGAUAGAAUCGGCGGAGACUGGGGUCACCGAUUUGACGGCAUUGCCCGCGAUCAGGGACAUUGUCGAUGGUCACAGAGACACCGUCUAUGAUCUCAGAGACAUCGUCCACGAUCACAAAGACAUUGUCCAUGAUCACAGAGACUUUGUCCAUAAUCUCAGAGACAUUGUCCGCGAUCACAGAGACGUAGUCCACGAUCACAGAGUCUUUGUACAAUGAAGAAGUUCUUUGAGACCAGGACAGAGUCCUUCAGGUGUCACCACUUCGUCCACAACAUUGCCCACGAUCGCAGAGACUUCGUCCAUGAUCGGAGAGACAUUGUUGAGGAUGAGGGAGACAUCGUCCACGAUCAGAGACAUUGCCCGUGAUCGCAGAGACCUUGUCAAAGAUGAGAGAGACGUUGUCCUUGAUCAGAGACAUUGUCCCCUGCUUCGUAGAGACCUUGCGAUAGAAUCGGCGGAGACGGGGGUCACCGAUUUGACGGCAUUGCCCGCGAUCAGGGACAUUGUCGAUGGUCACAGAGACACCAUCUAUGAUCUCAGAGACAUCGUCCACGAUCACAAAAACAUUGUCCAUGAUCAAGAGACUUUGUCCAUAAUCUCAGAGACAUUGUCCGCGAUCACAGAGACGUAGUCCACGAUCACAGAGUCUUUGUACAAUGAAGAAGUUCUUUGAGACCAGGACAGAGG